AUUGAACGCUGGCGGCAGGCCUAACACAUGCAAGUCGAAUGGUAACAGGAAACAGCUUGCUGUUUCGCUGACGAGCGGCGGACGGGUGAGUAAUGUCUGGGAAACUGCCUGAUGGAGGGGGAUAACUACUGGAAACGGUAGCUAAUACCGCAUAACGUCGCAAGACCAAAGAGGGGGACCUUCGGGCCUCUUGCCAUCAGAUGUGCCCAGAUGGGAUUAGCUAGUAGGUGGGGUAACGGCUCACCUAGGCGACGAUCCCUAGCUGGUCUGAGAGGAUGACCAGCCACACUGGAACUGAGACACGGUCCAGACUCCUACGGGAGGCAGCAGUGGGGAAUAUUGCACAAUGGGCGCAAGCCUGAUGCAGCCAUGCCGCGUGUAUGAAGAAGGCCUUCGGGUUGUAAAGUACUUUCAGCGGGGAGGAAGGGAGUAAAGUUAAUACCUUUGCUCAUUGACGUUACCCGCAGAAGAAGCACCGGCUAACUCCGUG
rnacentral:rRNA from 1 species